rnacentral:rRNA from 1 species
UCCUACGGGGGGCAGCAGUGGGGAAUAUUGCACAAUGGGGGAAACCCUGAUGCAGCGACGCCGCGUGAAGGAAGAAGUAUUUCGGUAUGUAAACUUCUAUCAGCAGGGAAGAAAAUGACGGUACCUGACUAAGAAGCCCCGGCUAACUACGUGCCAGCAGCCGCGGUAAUACGUAGGGGGCAAGCGUUAUCCGGAUUUACUGGGUGUAAAGGGAGCGUAGGCGGCCAUGCAAGUCAGAAGUGAAAACCCGGGGCUCAACCCUGGGAGUGCUUUUGAAACUGUGCGGCUAGAGUGUCGGAGGGGUA